rnacentral:siRNA from 1 species
CUACAAAGUGAAAGUCGCCAGUA